rnacentral:rRNA from 1 species
UACGGAGGGUGCGAGCGUUAAUCGGAAUUACUGGGCGUAAAGCGCACGUAGGCGGUCAGGCAAGUCGGGUGUGAAAGCCCUGGGCUCAACCUGGGAAUUGCAUUCGAAACUAUCUGACUCGAGUAUGGGAGAGGGAAGCGGAAUUUCCGGUGUAGCGGUGAAAUGCGUAGAUAUCUGGAGGAACACCGGUGGCGAAGGCGGCAUCCUGGACCGGUAUUGACGCUGAGGAGCGAAAGCCAGGGGAGCAAACGGG